rnacentral:misc_RNA from 1 species
UAAUGAGUGUUUAUGGCACUUUUAAAAAUCCAUACCCACCUUGUGUGCAUCGUUAGUCAUGUUCCUUGUUCUCUCUUGAGAGAGCGAGGAGGCAGACUUCAAAUUAAUCUAUCUUUAACAACAUUCGUCUGAUAACAUAUUAUGAAUAUACUUAAUUCAAAAUA